rnacentral:rRNA from 1 species
CCAAUAGCGUAUAUUAAAGUUGUUGCAGUUAAAAAGCUCGUAGUUGAAUUUCGGGGUUAGUAGAUUGGUCAUGCCUCCGGUAUGCACUGGUCUUACUGAUUCCUCCUUCCUGAUGAACCGUAAUGCCAUUAAUUUGGUGUUGCGGGGAAACUGGACUGUUACUUUGAAAAAAUUAGAGUGUUUAAAGCAGGCUAACGCUUGAAUACAUUAGCAUGGAAUAAUGAAAUAGGACGUUCGAUCUUAUUUUGUUGGUUUCUAGGAUUGACGUAAUGAUUAAUAGUGAUAGUUGGGGGCAUUAGUAUUCAAUUGUCAGAGGUGAAAUUCUUGGAUUUAUUGAAGACUAACUACUGCGAAAGCAUUUGCCAAGGAUGUUUUCAUUAAUCAAGAACGAAAGUUAGGGGAUCGAAGACGAUCAGAUACCGUCGUAGUCUUAACCAUAAACUAUGCCGACUAGGGAUCGGAUGAUGUUAAUUUUUUAAUGACUCAUUCGGCGCCUUACG